rnacentral:rRNA from 1 species
ACACAUGCAGUCGAGGGGUAUAGUUCUUCGGAACUAGAGACCGGCGCACGGGUGCGUAACGCGUAUGCAAUCUACCUUUUACAGAGGGAUAGCCCAGAGAAAUUUGGAUUAAUACCUCAUAGUAUAAUGACUUGGCAUCAAGACAUUAUUAAAGUCACAACGGUAAAAGAUGAGCAUGCGUCCCAUUAGCUAGUUGGUAAGGUAACGGCUUACCAAGGCUACGAUGGGUAGGGGUCCUGAGAGGGAGAUCCCCCACACUGGUACUGAGACACGGACCAGACUCCUACGGGAGGCAGCAGUGAGGAAUAUUGGACAAUGGGCGCAAGCCUGAUCCAGCCAUGCCGCGUGCAGGAUGACGGUCCUAUGGAUUGUAAACUGCUUUUAUACGAGAAGAAACACUACUUCGUGAAGUAGCUUGACGGUAUCGUAAGAAUAAGGAUCGGCUAACUCCGUGCCAGCAGCCGCGGUAAUACGGAGGAUCCAAGCGUUAUCCGGAAUCAUUGGGUUUAAAGGGUCCGUAGGCGGUUUAGUAAGUCAGUGGUGAAAGCCCAUCGCUCAACGGUGGAACGGCCAUUGAUACUGCUGAACUUGAAUUAUUAGGAAGUAACUAGAAUAUGUAGUGUAGCGGUGAAAUGCUUAGAGAUUACAUGGAAUACCAAUUGCGAAGGCAGGUUACUACUAAUUGAUUGACGCUGAUGGACGAAAGCGUGGGUAGCGAACAGGAUUAGAUACCCUGGUAGUCCACGCCGU